rnacentral:rRNA from 1 species
AACGAACGCUGGCGGCGUGCUUAACACAUGCAAGUCGAACGAGAAAAUCCUGGCUUGCCAGGAUGAGUAAAGUGGCGCACGGGUGAGUAACACGUGAGUAAUCUGCCCCUAAGUCAGGAAUAACAUUGCGAAAGCGAUGCUAAUACCUGGUAAGCCCACGACUUCUUCGGAAGAUGCGGGAAAAGGUGGCCUCUGACAUAAGCUAUCACUUAGGGAUGAGCUCGCGGACCAUUAGCUUGUUGGUAGGGUAACGGCCUACCAAGGCGAUGAUGGUUAGCUGGCCUGAGAGGGUGGCCAGCCACACUGGAACUGAGAUACGGUCCAGACUCCUACGGGAGGCAGCAGUGGGGAAUCUUGCGCAAUGGGGGAAACCCUGACGCAGCAACGCCGCGUGAGUGACGAAGGCCUUCGGGUCGUAAAGCUCUGUCAGAUGGAAAGAAUUAACUUGCUGAAAAUAUUGGCGAGUGAUGACGGUACCAUCAGAGGAAGCACCGGCUAACUCCGUGCCAGCAGCCGCAGUAAAAC